UACGAAGGGGGCUAGCGUUGUUCGGAAUCACUGGGCGUAAAGCGCACGCAGGCGGAUUGAUAAGUCAGGGGUGAAAUCCCGAGGCUCAACCUCGGAAUUGCCUUUGAUACUGUCUAUCUUCGAGUUCGGGAGAGGUUGGCGGAAUUCCUAGUGUAGAGGUGAAAUUCGUAGAUAUUAGGAAGAACACCAGUGGCGAAGGCGGCCAACUGGCCCGAUAC
rnacentral:rRNA from 1 species